AGAAAAAUUUGUUUGUAAGCAAUUUUUGAAACCUUGUCGUUUGAUUGAAAAGAAAACAAAUCAAUUCAAAUAUUAAAAUGCCGGAGAAUCCGAGCUCAUCAAAGCCGAGUCCAACCAGCCCAAACCCAAAGCCUGUGAGCGGUAUCAAAGAUGUUAAACCCAAGUCAGCAGUGUCGGUUGUACGUACUCCACCAAACACGACACAUGAUCGCAUCUGGAAGAUCAUGAAAAUGUAAAAGCAAUAGCAAGUUUUUUACUAACUAUCUGAUGUGGGGUCAACAAGUUUUUAAUUCUUUGCAUACUAAUAUUUUUCUCAUUUUAAAAUGAUAUUAAAUGCGAAUUGCCUCUAGAAAGUGUACCUUAUAUUGCGCUGAAUAAAGAGUAAAAGUACCACAGUGCUCUUAUAUUACCCAA